rnacentral:rRNA from 1 species
UACAGAGGUGGCAAGCGUUGUUCGGAAUUACUGGGCGUAAAGGGCGUGCAGGCGGUUUGUUUAGUCUAGGGUGAAAGCUCCCGGCUUAACUGGGAGAGGUCCUUGGAUACUGGCAAACUUGAGGGAGGCAGAGGAAAGUGGAAUUCCCGGUGUAGUGGUGAUAUGCGUAGAUAUCGGGAGGAACACCAGUGGCGAAGGCGGCCUUCUGGGCCUUACCUGACGCUGAGACGCGAAAGCGUGGGGAGCGAACCGG